CGGGGCGUGGCGCAGCCCGGUAGCGCACCACACUGGGGGUGUGGGGGUCGCUGGUUCAAAUCCAGUCGCCCCGACCA
rnacentral:tRNA from 2 species